GCCCCUUUGGCUCAGUGGUAGAGCGUCUCACUCGUAAUGAGAAGGUCCACGGUUCAAUCCCGUGAGAGGGCA
rnacentral:tRNA from 1 species